UCUCCCUUUCCCUUUUUCACCCAUCGUCGCCUCUCCGCCAUGCUCUACCACAUUUCCUCCACCGUAGGCAAUGAUUGACGUUUCCUGUCACUAUCCAAUCCCUCCAUUCACGCUCUGUACGCACACUAUCGUACAAACGUCGCCACUCAGGCCGAAUGCUUCUUCGUUAAGCUCAUGAAGAAAGAGGUGGAAUUUCUCUCCGAUUCGUAUUGGAUUGGUGUGUUGAGCAUUAUAAGCUCUUUCUAAGAUGGAAAUCGGAGAGGCACUGGUUGAAUGAUAAAGUGACUGAAUAGUUUGUAUUUCUCAGCCCUCUUCUAUGCAUAACAUUAAGAUGGCAGCAAGAUAGAUUAGAAGUUUACUAUUUUUUUUAUAACUGAGAGUCUGAGACAAUAAUCAUCAACAGGUUGAAAAUAAUGAGAUUACUCUAGAAGAUAUAGCAAAUUGAUAUUAUGUAUAUUUUGAUUUGGUAUAAAAUUCUUAUAUUUGCAUUUUUA